UCGGGAAUAUUGCGCAAUGGAGGAAACUCUGACGCAGUGACGCCGCGUAUAGGAAGAAGGUUUUCGGAUUGUAAACUAUUGUCGUGAGGGAAGAAAAUGACAGUACCUCAGGAGGAAGCUCCGGCUAACUAUGUGCC
rnacentral:rRNA from 1 species